UAAAAAAGAAAAUGGUGAAAUAAACAAAGAAAAUAAAUAAAAAAGUGAAAUGAAAUGAAAAAAAUACUUGAGAAAAUUUAUUCAGCAACAACGGGCGUUAAAGAAAGGGCGUGAUAAUUUGGUGAAUGUUCUCGUGUAGUGAUGCGAUAAACAGUAAUGGAAGCCUGGUGAAGUGAUACGAUAGACAAAGAUAGAAGCGUGACAGUGUGUGUAAAAGAAGCUUGGUGAUAAAAGAGGAAUCGUAGGAAACUCAAGGAGGAAAUAUAAGAAACUCAAGAGAUAAGAUUGGGAAAGGAAAAACGAAAAAGAAAACAACGAAGGGAGAGAAGAAAAUGAUUAUGUAACAGUGAUGAGAGAAGGAAACAUUUCAAAACAACUCAGUGAUGAAAGAUGAAGA